rnacentral:rRNA from 1 species
UACGUAGGGGGCAAGCGUUGUCCGGAUUUAUUGGGCGUAAAGAGCGUGUAGGCGGUCAGGUAGGUCGGUUGUGAAAACUGGAGGCUCAACCUUCAGAGGUCGACCGAAACCCCCUGGCUAGAGUCCGGGAGAGGAGAGUGGAAUUCCUGGUGUAGCGGUGAAAUGCGCAGACAUCAGGAAGAACACCCGUGGCGAAAGCGGCUCUCUGGAACGGUACUGACGCUGAGACGCGAAAGCGUGGGGAGCGAACAGG